AUUUAGGGCUGGCAAUUUUCGACACGACACGAUAACCCGACACGAAACCGCACGAAAUUAAUGGGUUAGAAACACGCACGAUAAGGUUCGGGUCCUUAUCGGGUCGACCUGAUAAGGAUCUGAUAAUUUCGGGUCGGGUUCGGGUUGGGUCGGGUUCGGUUCAGGUUAGUAGGGUUUCAUAUCAUUCAUCCCUUCCAAUUUCCCCGCCGCACACCCGUUUCGUCCCUUGACUCCCUUCCAAUUUCCAUUCUUCCAAGUUCCAACUCCGCCGCCCGCCGCCGCACUGCCCCGCCCCGCCGCCCGCACUCGACGUCGACUCUCAAGUCACAGCCACAUCGACGACGACGGCCCGGCGCAGCCCUUCUUCGAGUCGCCGCCCCAUCCCACUGUCGAAUCUCACGGCUCCCUCUUCGCCGCCUCUCUCCCAAAGUUCCAGUCGGCGCGGAGGAGAGGAGGAGCAAGAAGAAGAAGCAGAGGAAGAGGAGGCAUCGGAGUUACUUCUCGUCGUCUGAGUCCUCAUAGUCGGAUUCUGGUUCCGACUCUGAUUCGGAGGAGAGGAGUCGUCGGAAGAAGGGUAAGAGCAGGAGGCAUGGGAGAAGGCACUAAUGGAUCUUGAUGUGAUAAACCCUUUAGUUUUAUGUGUUUCACUUGCAAAAUUUGUGUUAAUGGUUUGCAGAGAUUCUCCUCUUGUAUUAGGAACUAUGCUUUGCUGAGUUUUAUGUGUUUCGCUGGUUCCGAGUCUUCCGACUCUGAUUC